rnacentral:SRP_RNA from 1 species
CCGUGCUAGGCGGGGAGUUAGCGGUGUCCUGUACUCGCAAUCCGCUCUAGCGAGGCCGAAUUCCCUCUUGAGGGUCGCGGCCUUCGGGGUCAGCCCACAUGCGGUGGUGCUGAUGGCCCGGGUCCCGCGCGGUGUCGGCCCGUGAAUCAGGUCAGGUCCGGAAGGAAGCAGCCUUAAGCGGUCACCGGUAUGCGCAGCGGGGGUUCCCGGGCCGGAGCUAUCGCAUGUGCAAGCGCCCGGGGACCGCGUCUCGAUUGAGGGUGCACGG